UAUUUCCCUACCUCUCCUAUCCCUCUUCCUCUACUCAAUUUUCUGAUAGGGUAUUAUUGGUUAAGCAGUUGAAAUCGAAGGUUGGUGAAGUGAUGUCCUCUCCUGCCAUCACUCUGUCACCUGACAAGACAGUUUUAGAUGCUGCAGCUUUGAUGCUUAAGAUGAAGAUCCAUAGGGUACCAAUCGUAAAUGAAAAACAGCAAGUUGUAGGAAUGGUUUCUCGAACAGACAUAUUCCAGGCACUGGAAACCCAGGUGGUAUAAGCUCUCUGCUUCAUAAGAAUGCUUAUCUGCUGUGUAAAUAUGAAAAUAAGUGUAAAUAUGAAAAAUAAGUUAAAGAAGCACAUAAAACAGGGCAGCUAUGACUUUGUGACUCCUAAUUGCAUAUUGUAUGAUAUAUUCUCUUCAUUUCUUUGUG